rnacentral:rRNA from 1 species
AGGGGCUUGAGUGUGGUAGGGGCAGAGGGAAUUCCCGGUGUAGCGGUGAAAUGCGUAGAUAUCGGGAAGAACACCAGUGGCGAAGGCGCUCUGCUGGGCCAUCACUGACGCUCAUGGACGAAAGCCAGGGGAGCGAAAGGGAUUAGAUACCCCUGUAGUCCUGGCCGUAAACGAUGAACACUAGGUGUCGGGGGAAUCGACCCCCUCGGUGUCGUAGCCAACGCGUUAAGUGUUCCGCCUGGGGAGUACGCACGCAAGUGUGAAACUCAAAGGAAUUGACGGGGGCCCGCACAAGCGGUGGAGUAUGUGGUUUAAUUCGAUGCAACGCGAAGAACCUUACCAGGGUUUGACAUCCUGCGAAUCUCUUGGAAACGAGAGAGUGCCUUCGGGAACGCAGUGACAGGUGGUGCAUGGCUGUCGUCAGCUCGUGUCGUGAGAUGUUGGGUUAAGUCCCGCAACGAGCGCAACCCACGUCUUUAGUUGCCAGCAUUUAGUUGGGCACUCUAGAGAGACCGCCGGUGAUAAACCGGAGGAAGGUGUGGAUGACGUCAAGUCAUCAUGCCCCUUACAUCCUGGGCUACACACGUACUACAAUGCUACGGACAAAGGGCAGCAAGUUCGCGAGGACAAGCAAAUCCCAUAAACCGUGGCUCAGUUCAGAUCGUAGGCUGCAACUCGCCUACGUGAAGGAGGAAUCGCUAGUAAUCGCAGGUCAGCAUACUGCGGUGAAUACGUUCCCGGGCCUUGUACACACCGCCCGUCACACCAUGGAAGUUGGCCACGCCCGAAGCCGUUACUCCAACCCUUGUGGAGGAGGACGUCGAAGGUGGGGCUGAUGACUGGGGUGAAGUCGUAACAAGGUAACCGUA